rnacentral:rRNA from 1 species
GCGAUUCCGGCUACGGAUGGUCAUGCGUCGCAUUAGCUUGUUGGCGGGGUAACGGCCCACCAAGGCGACGAUGCGUAGGGGUUCUGAGAGGAAGGUCCCCCACACUGGUACUGAGACACGGACCAGACUCCUACGGGAGGCAGCAGUGAGGAAUAUUGGUCAAUGGCCGCAGGGCUGAACCAGCCAAGUCGCGUGAGGGAUGACGGUCCUAUGGAUUGUAAACCUCUUUUGUCAGGGAGCAAAGGGCGCCACGUGUGGCGUUUUGCGAGUACCUGAAGAAAAAGCAUCGGCUAACUCCGUGCCAGCAGCCGCGGUAAUACGGAGGAUGCGAGCGUUAUCCGGAUUUAUUGGGUUUAAAGGGUGCGCAGGCGGAAUGUCAAGUCAGCGGUAAAAUUUCGGGGCUCAACCCCGUCGUGCCGUUGAAACUGGCGUUCUUGAGUGAGCGAGAAGUAUGCGGAAUGCGUGGUGUAGCGGUGAAAUGCAUAGAUAUCACGCAGAACUCCGAUUGCGAAGGCAGCAUACCGGCGCUCAACUGACGCUCAUGCAGGAAAGCGUGGGUAUCGAACGGGAUUAGAUACCCUGGUAGUCCACGCAGUAAACGAUGAAUACUAACUGUCCGGGCAGAAUGAUGCCUGG